GCCAAUACUUUGCAUUGUGUAAUUCAGUCUUCAUUGUCAGGAGGUUUCCUUCUAUGUGCACCUAGCAACUGCUUCUGCUGUGAUUCCUUCAAAAUAAACAGAAGACGCAGCCUGUUAUUUGCUCUUCUUCGAGGACUGGAGAGAAGAGACCUACUAUCUCGGCAUCAAGAGACAAAUAGGCAAUGACUUUCAAGAAGGUGAUGUGCCACUAGCCAGGAACAGCUCUCCCUGUGUCUGUGAUUAGAACUCCCAGGAAGUCUGUGAUGACUGGCUGUCACAGUUCCUAAUGCUAUCCACACCAGUAGAGACUGAACAUAGCAUUUAUAAAGAUAUCCUGUAAUCGCCGUUUACUGGCUGAGAGUGCAAGAAAUGCAUUGCUGGCCGGUGUGAGCGAAACAUCAAAGUCCUUUCUUAGAAAGCUGUUCCGUUUCCCGCCUGUUUGGUGCGCAUGAAAUCAGUGAACCUAAUAAAGUAAGCCUUGUUAAG
rnacentral:lncRNA from 14 species